rnacentral:rRNA from 1 species
AUUGAACGCUGGCGGCAUGUUUUACACAUGCAAGUCGAACGGUAACAGCACUUCGGUGGCUGACGAGUGGCGAACGGGUGGGUAAUACAUCGGAACGUGCCUAGUAGUGGGGGAUAACUACUCUAAAGAGUAGCUAAUACCGCAUGAGAUCUAAGGAUGAAAGCCGGGGACCUUCGGGCCUUGCGCUACUAGAGCGGCUGAUGGCAGAUUAGGUAGUUGGUGGGAUAAAAGCUUACCAAGCCGACGAUCUGUAGCUGGUCUGAGAGGACGACCAGCCACACUGGGACUGAGACACGGCCCAGACUCCUACGGGAGGCAGCAGUGGGGAAUUUUGGACAAUGGGCGCAAGCCUGAUCCAGCAAUGCCGCGUGCAGGAUGAAGGCCUUCGGGUUGUAAACUGCUUUUGUACGGAACGAAAAGCCCUCUUCUAAUACAGGAGGGUCAUGACGGUACCGUAAGAAUAAGCACCGGCUAACUACGUG